rnacentral:ncRNA from 1 species
CCUGCUGUACGACCAGCAGUAACCUAAGAGGACAUGCGUCACUGGUAACGGUGGGGUGUGAAGCUUCUCUGACAAUAGGUCCCGGUAUCUCAGGGGCUGCUGGCUGUGAGGCCUGUAGCUGAUGCUCCUUAGCAGCAAGGGGGUUGAGACC